AUUGAACGCUGGCGGCAUGCUUUACACAUGCAAGUCGAACGGCAGCGCGGGCUUCGGCCUGGCGGCGCGUGGCGAACGGGUGAGUAAUACAUCGGAACGUGCCCAGCAGUGGGGGGUAGCUCGGCGAAAGCCGGAUUAAUACCGCAUACGACCUGAGGGUGAAAGCGGGGGAUCUGCGGACCUCGCGCUUUUGGAGUGGCCGAUGGCGGAUUAGCUAGUUGGUGGGGUAAAGGCCUACCAAGGCGACGAUCUGUAGCUGGUCUGAGAGGACGACCGGCCACACUGGGACUGAGACACGGCCCAGACUCCUACGGGAGGCAGCAGUGGGGAAUUUUGGACAAUGGGCGAAAGCCUGAUCCAGCAAUGCCGCGUGUGUGAUGAAGGCCUUCGGGUUGUAAAGCACUUUUGGCGGGAACGAAAAGGACUGUGCCAAUACCACGGUUCGAUGACGGUACCCGCAGAAUAAGCACCGGCUAACUACGUG
rnacentral:rRNA from 1 species